CAAUCGCCGCCUGCCCGGGCGCCCGGCAGCGCAUCCGAACGAACGACACCGCACCGCGAUCGUGUUUACGAACGUUUCCAAAUUCAAACUUUUACAGUUACAGUGCUUUGGAUUUGCAUUCAUAUACCCGUACCUUAGUUGGAGUCACUGAAGCUGCAUACAAUACGAGCAUUACGCCGAAAUGGCUGCGAAUGGAUACGGACCCGCUCCCGUCGGACACGCCGGUCGGAUCCCGAACUACGGUAAAACACAGGUCAAUCCAAUGGGAGGAGUUGAGCCACCAGCGUGCAUUCAAAACGCUAUGAUGACCAAGGAUAAGAAACCUUUCACAUAUACCCCAGGAGGGUUGGAUUUGUCACAAAUUAAAACACCCAGUAUGGCCAGGAGAUUGGCAAGACAACGUUCCCAAGAAGAACACGAGCAGGCGUAUGGUCAGCAACAACCUAACAAUAAUUAUCAAUCGCAUGGACCCGGAGGCCCUGUACCGCCACCUCCACCACCAAUGAAAAUACCAGCUCCACCACCACCUCCGCCUCUUGUUAUACAGGCACCUGACAGUAAAUCUCCAAAAACGAUUCAAGGAGAGAGACCAGAAAUUGUUAUCCCAGAUAAUCCGAUAGGUAUGCUAAGAAAAACAAACAGUCCGUAUCAUUGGGAAGCUGAAAAGGCAGAUUUGCAGCGUAUGGGCCCGGUUCCCAAAUUUACAGAGAGAACACCUGGUCCGUUAACUGUUAAUUUGCCGGCACACAAUACCUCUCAGAACUAUUCUCCACAAAAUAAUAUUCAAAGACAGAGCUACGGGAACAAGAAUCAGUCUCCUGACAGUCCUAUUCAUAGGCCAGAGGCACAGUAUGCUCAUCAAAAAACUGCGUCACCAAAUACUAACGGUUCACCACAAACCAGAGAACUACUUGUCAGGCAAGAUUCACAAUUUAAUAAGAGUCCUCAACCUUUUGCUAAUCAAUCUCCAAUAAGCACUGGUUCACCUUAUUCGCCUUCUCCCAAUAACCAUUGGAAACAACCAGAUAAAAGAGAUUCUCCAGUGUAUACUACCAAUAGUCCCCAGUCACCACAAACUAACCGUGGGCCAUUUUCACCAGCCGUUAAGCAAAAUGUUCCAAGUUACAAUCAACCAGCACCAGCACCCAAUAAUACAGUAUUUCAUACCCUUCCUAGAGCUGGUCCUCGAAACCAAGAAAACUUUUCAAAUGCUUACAACAAUACUCCUAAUAACAUUAAAGAAUCACAGCAAAGUCCUAAUGCCGAGGCUUCUACAGCACCAUGGCGAACUAGUACUCUAAACAGGCAUCCCCGCGAAAACCAACAGAUUCCUUACAAUAAUACAAGUCAACCUCAGCCCCAGUGGAAAACCCAAGACGCAAACAAUAAUCAGACUGAAACUUAUACUCCACCAUGGAAACAAGAGAACAGAAAUACUCCUAACCAAACUGGCAACCAACAACAAUACACCCCUCCGUGGCAAGCUCAAGAUAAUACACAAAGGUCUAUGGCUCCUACAACACCUCCGGAAACUCGAUACCAGUCAACAAUAUCAGUUCCGGUGACACCAAAGAAACAAACAAAUCAACCUAAUUACAGCAAUAUUCAGCCGAACAAAGAAGCAGUGUACGUAAAUCAAGAACCUGUUUAUUAUUGUUCUGAUAGUCCAAAGUCGAUACCACCAUGGGUUAAAACACAAAAGGAAAAAACGAAAACUCCACCACCGGUGUGGUGUCAAAGACCGUUGGAAGGUAAAGAAAGUGCACAACGAGAAUUAUACACUCCACCUAGAGAAACGAAUCAAGAGCCGGCGUGGGUAAAGAAAAGUAAUGAAAUGCAGCGAGGUAAUCGCGAAUUCGUAAGUCCACCUAAAUACCAGCAGCAAGCUCAGCCCAAUUGGUCAACACUUCCUUCGGAAAACAGAAAAAGUCUUCCGCGGGACAAUAAUCAAGGAAGGGUCAUUCCAAUCCAAAUGGAAGUCUCCAACACAGAUUCACGAAAUAAGGGCAACCAGCCUCAUUUGAGAAUUGUUAUUGACAUGAAACAAAACCCCGAUACCCAAAACGGUACCCAGGCGCCAUAUUCUCAACCAACACAGCGUAUCAUGAGAGUUUUAUCUCCACAACUAGUGAGAAUGGAUGAUAGUCAAAUGCAGCCAGAUUUGCCUACGUUAAACACACGUUACCAAAGUACUCAGGACAGUCAACCAAAGACGCGAAUAAUUCCAAUACAAAUCGAAGGUGCAGACAGCGGUGGGGCAAACAAAAGCUUCGGUGGGCGGUAUUAAGGGAGCUGUUUGCACUGUCCAAAGUAAACACACUUUUUAUUGCACUGCUUCUUCGUGAUUCAGUCUUGAGAAAUAUACCACAAAAUCAUUCAAGAAAGUCCACCGCGGCAGUCAAAGGCUUUCAAAGUUCUACAAGUCAUCACAGGAACGCAGGAUGUGGAUUAGUUCGGAAUGAUCAACAAUAUUUUAAAGUAUCUAUUUAUUCAUAAAACUAACAAUAAUGCUAUCACGUAUUUGUAAACGUAUACGUGAUUGAAUUUGUAAUUAUUCAAAAUUAUUAAAAAUGUAGUAUUUUUAUAUCUUUUAGGUGUAUAUAAUAUCUUAAGAUAAAUUAAGUUUUACCAUAUGAACUAUUGUUGAAACCGAUUUUACGUUAUCGAGAGGAACUAACGUAUACGAUCCUAAUGAAAUAUUAAUGUCGUAAACACGAUAAUUAAGUAAAAAUAUUUUUUUAAAGAUAAUAUUUUAGAUUUCUUCGCGGGAAAUAACGAGCUAAAGAAGUAACUUAUCGUACAAUUUAUAUUGUUAUUUAUAGUUUAAUUAUUUAUUUUAAACAUUUAUAUAGAUAGCUAAUUUUUAACAAUAAUAAUAAAUAUAUUAUAUCGGAUACUCUAUUUUAAGUGCUGCUUUAUUUAAUGUGAUUAUACUAAUGCUCAUGUUAAAGUGGAAUACGGCUAAAAACCAAAGAAUAAUUAGGUUUUAUUAUAAAUUAUUUACUAACAUAGUUAUUUAUUUAUUUUUAGAAUAUAAUAAAUUAAUAAGAUAAACUUUAAAUAGGUAUUUAAAUUAAAAGUUACCACUUUGAUUAUAAAUUUACUAUUAUUUGUUAAAAUAAUAUUAUAAUUUAGAAACGUUUUUAAAAUUUCCUUUUCUUGUUUACUGAAAAAUACUAAUAACAUAAUUAACUUAAUUAUAUAUACUAUUAUGGUUUAUAAAGCUUAGUGUUUGCACUAUUUAUUUUUAUAUUAUAAUAAUAUAUUUGUAUUAUCCACUUUCAAGUUUAUAAUUAUUAAUUUUUAUGUAUUUAUAUUUGCCAAGUAUUUUUGGUUUGUGAUCAGUAUUCUCAUUAUUAGUAUAAUAUAAUACCUACUCGUUGUAUAAUAUUUAUUUAUAUUAAAAUAUGAUAAUUAACGAAACACUAACAAAUUAACACUAUUAUUAUCCGCACAAAGAGUUACCAUAACAAUUUUAUAAUAAUAAACAAUAAUUCCCGAUAAUCCUGGGUUGUAUUUGUGAUUAAC